UCACGUGACCAGGAACUCUCAGACGGCACAGUUCUCAGAACUGCGCAGUAAUCCUCAACUUCGCUUCAUAUCGCCGUUCGCACGCGACCGUGAUAUAGUUUUAUCCCGAAAAAAUUAUAAGCAAUUCAGAUGAUACACCGAUAUUUAACUUGAUUAUUUUAUCUGUGAUUUUAAUGUAAGUUGAAAUAAAUGUUGACGAUAAAUAUUUUCCUCUUAGGUUUGCCAGAAUGCACCAGCGUGGGUGGCGCCACUAGAUAUCAGUGCUGAAGUUAUAUCACG